AGGUGGCUGGAAUCCACAGUCGCUGGGUGUUAUUAGCAUUGACAGGAUGGGGGAGAGUGAAAAAGGGGGCUCAGGUUAUAGGCAUCCUUGAGCUGGUUUUUAAAAAUUGCUUUGGUUUUGGUAGAAACUAGUGUUAGGACAGGAGAAAUCACCAAGCACCAUCAAAGAGAUGAUGGGAAACAGUGGUUAAAGGAAGCACAGUCGACUCCUGCGGGCACCCACACCUAGUGAGAGACUGAGCCUUGUUCACUUUAAAGCAGAGGUUCAACCAUGCAGACGGGGAGGAGGACCAGGUGGGAAUCAAGUAGGAAAGAGGAGAGGCUAUUAAAAAAAAUUCAUCUUAGAAAAACCACACACAGUUAAGAAACCAUACAACAUGGAACAGGUUAUGUGUCACCAACAGAAAAGGAACAGAAAGGAGAGACGGUUGGAUGAGCUGGGAUGAGAGAGACACAUGAGGGCCAAACAGAACGGGAACAUCAAAUCAAAGGCAGCAAAGCAAACCAAAGCCAACCCAGGGCUUUCUCAGGUGCAGAGCAGAGGCAGCCAGAAAGCACAUGGGAGCUGGCGGACAGAUGACAUUCGGGGGCGGGCUGCAUGCCACGCGGGGUCGGGAGCCACACGGCACACAGACAGACACACGGCUACACUUGGAAGCCUGGACAAUGUGAACGGAGGUCGUUUGUACCCAGCGUUUCUUUCCUUCAUGCAUUUGGGAGGUAAACACUCGAGUAUAGACUCAAAGCCCUGGCCAGCCAGUCAUUGGAGCUUACUUUGGGGUCUCUUAUUUCCUGGGGGAUUUUGUUUGUUUAUUUGUGCUUUGAAAACACAAAACCAAAAAACGAAGCUGGAAUCAGAUGGCCAAACCCAGCCCCAGUGGGAUUCUGGGGUGUGUGCAACUGAGUCACAAAACAGCAAGUUCUUUCAUUUUCUGUCUCAGUUGUGAACCACACAUCCUGGGGCCUCAGUUUCCUCCGCUGAAGAAUGGGAGGAGGCUGGUCAUUGAGUCUUCAAGGCUAGUGGAAAGAGCACUGGACUUGAAGGCAGAAGGACCCAACUUGCGUCCUGGCUCUGCCACAUCUGGUGCCUUGACUGUGGACAAGCCACACUAGCUCUCUGGUUGUCCUCUGUCCUGCCUCACAGGGUACAGAGGGACAGGACCCUCACUUGGAAGAGAGGUGUCCCUUCUCUGGACUCCUGGGAGAGGCAGUAGUGCCUGUCAUCUCAAGAGUCUGAUGGGACUUGGGACAAAGGUGCCUCCUCCUCUCGUCCCAGCCCCAACUCGGAGUGGAGUCAGAGAUGGAGAAAACAAGGUGGCAUUGGCGCCUCCAGAACAGAGCCUUAGUCAGCUGCUGUGUGCAGGCCAAGUGGCACCCACCUGCAGAGCAGUGGCUGCCCUACACCACAGGCCUGCGGGGAGGCAGGGGACUGGACGAGACGGUCGUGGGGAGGCCCUUGAAGUCCCAGGACUUGAGCUCUCAGAGGAACCCAGGGUAGCUCCUUUGUGGAACCCUGGUGGGGAAAGCCCUCUUCCAUGGAAGUGGAGUUUCUAGGUGACAGUGGUUGAUGAUUUUAAGUGUCAUCGCUGAAGGUUUGUUUUACUGUUGCAGAGGGAAUUCUUUCUAAAGCAUGUCACAUGCUCCUCUGACUUCUAAUUUAGAGUGCACAGAGAAUAAUUUAACAUAAGGUUUGUCAUUUAUCCUUCUUGGUCUUAGGUAAGACCCCAUGGAUUGGCUUGUUUUUUCUCCCUUGCUGUCAGCCAUCGCUUACUAGUUAGUGCUGACUUUUCUGUUUUCUGAAAAGCACCUCUGUCCUUUCACCUUGCAUAUUGUGAGCUGGGACUCCAGGGUACCCCACUUGCUGGAAUCGUGCUUUAAAUAAGAGGCAACAAGUGCCAAGCAAGAGCCAGCCAGACACGGCCUUCGUGCUGGUGCUCCAUCACGGCCACUGUGGCUGCUGAGCUCUUUCCCCCUGGAGUCCCUCUUUGUGGCUCUGCAGAGAUGGUUCAUAUUCUGAUCUCCUGGUAAGUGAGCUGUUACACCUUGAUUAAUUGAAAACAAAGAAGGCACUGCUGGCCUCAGCUUUCUUAUUUGUAGAGUGGGAAUAGCGUCACGGCUGUAGCUGCCUAGCUUGGUGCUGUGUGUUCUGAGGCUGAAGUGCAAUUCAGAUGCUGACUGGAACACCUAGUGUAUGUGUGGGGCGGGGGGAUGGUGGCAGGACCCUGUCAUGUGACUGACAACGCAGAGGGGAUGACACACAAUGAGAUGAGGCCCCUCCGCCCUCCCCCUGGCAUGGAGACAACAGAAAAAAUGAACUGCUCUGGACAAGACUGUGGGGACAAGACUUUUUGGGACACCCCGCCACGGCCAUCUCAAGUCUCCACUUCGGUUCUCUCCGAGGCUGAAAUGGAAAAAACUAUGGGGAAAAAAAGCUCUUCCAUCUCCCCUCCCUGCCUACCCUAAAGUGCAAACUCCUUGCCCUAGGAGUCUUCAGAACCAGGAAUCUGCAGGGGAAGUGGAAGCAGGAAGUGCCCUAUCUGUCCAGCAAGGGUGAAGUGCUGCCCUUCAAGAAAGAGGCUGAACUGGGAUGGACGAAGAACUGGGCUUUCACCCAGAAGCCAGACUCCUGGCAGGCAGCCCCAGCCAGAGGGCCGCAGGAGUCACCAGGAGGGGUGGCAGAAGGGAAGAAGCGGAUUCUUCCCCAUGUAGGUCUCCCUGACAGGACACUUGGUCACCGCACCUCAGGAUAGGUGGGGGUGCUGAGCAAGGCCAGAGCUGAGCUGGUGCAGAAAGGAGCUGGGAGGUCAGCUGGCUAGGCUGCUGCAAAGGUGAGAGCUCUCUGGUCUAAAGGGGAGGAGGAUGGGACCAGUGUUGCCUUCCCCUAGAAAUCCUGGCGGUGACUGCCUAGUGAUGGUAUAUCAUGGAAAUGUGACUCAGCCACCAUCUGCUGAAAUGCAUCUCCAUUUCAUCUUGGCUCCCUGGGCCUCCCCAGCACUGCAUUUCUGUGCUGACGAAUGAGCACUGAGGGGCUCCUUCCCUGCUUUCUGCUUCUGUCCUGCCGCUGUAGGUCAUGGACAUUUGCCAUCAACAGGCUUUCUGUGGCCUGCGCCUCCACUGGAGGCACUGAGGGAGGCGUUCCCCCCAGCACACAGGGUUCCCGCUGCUGCAGCGGGGUGUGUUGUGGGUGCUCUGGUUUUGGAUGGGGGUACAGGCCCUUUAUAGAGUUUCAAGAGAUGAGCUGGAGUCUACUUCUCACACAGAAGCUGGAGGCUAAGACGGACACUGUGUCAACUGGAGAAGACCAGAGCCAGGGGCUCCCCUGCAGAUCAGAAGGGCCUGGCUGGAAGCGAAGCAGGGCGGUGGGAGGAAAGACAGGCUUUUCCCUAUGGGGCCCGAAGCCAUGGGUCCGGGAAAGAGCUAAACAAAGCCAGCGCCCCUGCCCGCCUGGGAGCUGGCGUGGGCAGUGCCAGCCGGAGGCAGUAAGGAGUCACACUCACGCCCGGCUGCAGCAGGAGGAAGGCUGGUCGGAGAGGAAAGAGCAUUGGACAACGACACGCGACUAGGGCUAGAGAGAUUGGCUACAUCCUGGCUCUGGCUGGUGACCGAGGACUGUCUCCGCAGGGCCCCCUGAAAGGAGGCCCCGCUCUUGAAAGUAUUGACUACUUCAAUCUGCAACGGAGGAGAGAACGAGACAAGUUGCGAGAAGAAUGAACACAACAGCUACAUGACUGACAGGCGCAACAUCACAAGAACAGCCGCAGCCACGGCAACAACGACAAUGUCACUUAAAUCAAAACAAAAAUACCAGACACACUCCAAGGCUCUGAAAGAUGUCUGCUCAGCUCUGGGCCCACCUGCAGGCCCCAGGGUCCCCGGGAGGACACAGGGGGUCUGGCCUUUGUCCUGUGCUAGUGGCUCAGGGGCCAGUGGGCUGGGUGAGGCCGGUGGGGGAGGCAGUGAUUAAACAUGGCAUCUGGAGGGAAGAGAGCAGUGUUCAGCCUCCCUCAGAUACAGGUGUGGAGGUGGAGGGUGUGGUGGGGGCCCUGAGGUGAACAGAGCUUGGCCUAAAUUCCAGCUCUGUCACUUACUAGCUAGGAGACCUUGGGCAAGCCACCUCUCUGAGUUGAGUUUCUUCUUCUUAAGAAGGGUUAAUGCCACCUGCCCGGCAGGGUUAUCUGUAAGUGGCAAAGCACCUGACCCACAAGAGGCAGGCAAGACAGACGCUCCUGCCCACUCAAGAAACCACAGUCCUUGCUUCCUCCCAUAAUUUGGAGACCCCUGCAUGGCUCUGCCACCAGGGCAGUGA